AAGAGGAAAAAUAGUAAUUACUUUUUUUUUCAGUUUUAUUGGGGCAAUAAAGGAGAAGAAUAAACCUCCAGUUUUUGUUAUUGAUCCAUCUGUUGAUGAUAAUAAGAAAAAGUUACCGCGGGGAUAACAGCGCAAGACGACCAGAGAGUUCUUAUCUAAGGCCGUAAG
rnacentral:rRNA from 1 species